UUUGUUAUUUUCGCAUGCUCC
rnacentral:miRNA from 1 species